GAUGAACGCUGGCGGCGUGCUUAACACAUGCAAGUCGAACGGUGAAGGAGAGCUUGCUCUCCGGAUCAGUGGCGAACGGGUGAGUAACACGUGAGCAAUCUGCCCCUGACUCUGGGAUAAGCGCUGGAAACGGCGUCUAAUACCGGAUACGAGCUGCGAAGGCAUCUUCAGCAGCUGGAAAGAACUUCGGUCAGGGAUGAGCUCGCGGCCUAUCAGCUAGUUGGUGAGGUAAUGGCUCACCAAGGCGUCGACGGGUAGCCGGCCUGAGAGGGUGACCGGCCACACUGGGACUGAGACACGGCCCAGACUCCUACGGGAGGCAG
rnacentral:rRNA from 1 species